rnacentral:lncRNA from 1 species
AUGUACCGGAGCGCUGGGCGGACAGCCUUGGGGGGCACCGGCCGCCACCUGAGUGACCGCGGGAGGAGGAUGCUGGGGGAUAAGGGAUAUCCCACACUCGGGGGGUGCUGGACGGAUGCGAGGGUACGGGAUCGUCGCCUUGCGGAGUCCUGGGGGGACCAUGCUGGGUUACCACGGCCAGCUGGGAGGAUGCUGAGAGGACGGACCGUCCCAGGCUCAGAGCCCCUGGGAAGCCCUGCCUGGGUCCUCCUGCUCUGCUGGAGCCUGGCUGCUUGCUGCACAGGUGCCAUGGCCUUGCAGCCGCCCAGCAUCACCGCCCUGCGGAUGCCAGCAGAGCUUCCUCGCCCAGGUGAGAGUGUGACUGUGUCAUGUGAAGCACUGAGUGAGCUUCCAGAGAUGACGCUGCUCUACUGGCUGGAGAACGGCUUCUUCGUGGAGAGCCUGCACCCCGACGGGGCUGUACGUGAGGGGACAGUGCAAGUCUCGGGAGUGCGGAGACCAAAGCUUCGGAUCAACAGGAAGCCUCAGGUGAACUGGAUGCAUGUCAUAGGAGAUCAAAGACCUAACAUGGUUUGUGCUGUUAUGAUGCCUAAGGCAAAGCCUCUGCAGACAAAGGUCAGUGUUUGCAACUGAGUGCCAGAGAUCCUUCACAAUUUAUUAUUCCUACAACACAAGAGCAGUUUGAAUGGUGUUUUGCUAACUGUACAGCCUUGCAAAGUGCUUUGCAAAAUUUUUCUGACACCUCGGGAGGCUGUCCUGAAGGGCAAAGGAACCCAGGAAGGCUGGAUGUGCUGUAAGAAGGAAUCUUCAGGGCACAGAAGCAGGCUACGCUGAAAGAAGAGCCAGAGGGAGGGGAACUUUGUCUGGAACUCAGAGUAAAAAGGAUAGUUUAUAAUAUUUGAAAAAAGGGGCAGCAAGUCAGGAAAUAAACAAGGAUGUGAUGAGGCA